rnacentral:ncRNA from 1 species
UGAAAGGCGUCCAGUAUGGUAACACAACCAAUCCUGGAGAAGCCAUCAGGAGGCCUGGAGAGAAUUCUCUUUAAUUUGUGAAGAGAAGGGUGCCAUGAAAUGGGUUCACACCAAGAGAGGAGACCAAGCCUUGGAAAGUGUCAUGAUUUCAGCAGCAUCCAGUUAGCUCUUGCUGGCCCUUGAAAAUCUGAGAGAAAUGGUGUAAAACUUGCA